ensembl:processed_transcript
CUCACCCAGCCGGCACACGACCGACCUUCAACGUUGAAAUAUGGUUGAAAUAAGGUCAGAUGCGUUUUGAACGUUGAAAUAAUGUUGAUAGAACGUUUAAUGUUGAACGGUUGAAAAACAGCCUGCAUAUGACAAGGCUUCAACGUUGAAAUGUGGUUGAAAAUACGUCAGUUGUUGCUUUAAUGUUGAAACAAUGUUGAAUGAUAAAUGGUUGAAAAAAGUUACAGAAAUCCUUGUACAAAUCAACGUUGGCAUUUUUUUUAUCAUGAUCUGUAUGUUGAAUUAACGUCAUGGCUUCACCCAAUAUUCAACAUGUUUGGUUACCAUGGUAUCGGAGGACUCGGCGCACGCGGCCACGCGCAGCGCUUCACUUCACUUAAUUACGAACACCUGACCUGCAGUGCAGCAGAAUUCAGAGACAUGUAACUUAACGUACUCCAGAGACGCAAUAACUUGCACAGCAUUGAAUGGAAAAGGCUUUGUCCAUGUCCAGUUGAGGGCAUCAAGAACACGCAGAUAGCCUAAACCUGUGUCAGCCUGGACAGACUUCAGUUCUGCUAUUCAACGCCAAGGCUUUUGUAUGGAUGUCUGACUACUACUGUGUUCUCUAAAGGUUUUCUGGAAGCUCCAUUUGAGGGCAUCAAGGACAUACUGAUGGCCUAAACCAGUGUCAGCCUAGACAGACAGACAUCUAUUGCAGUUCUGCUACACAAGACCAAACUCUCUGCUUUUGUAUGGAUGUCUGACUAGUACGGUGUUCUCUAAAGGUAUAACUGGAGCAAAACAACAGCAUCCGUUACAGUGAAAUUUGUGUUCAUAAAAGAUAGUGAUAUGUGUAACAGGUCCAGUACAUUUGUCAUAAAGGUUAAAUCACAGUAAGUACUGUAAAAAUAACUUGUUUGCCUCUGCCACAACAGGUCAUGGUGUGUGCUUACUGCUCGUAGUAAACACACACGCUGAUCUGAUGCGGGAGAGAUAUAUGCAAACAUAUUUGUAUUUACUGUUUUGUUUUGCCUCACUAAAGUGUUGUUGGAGCUUGGUAUGUUCACAGUUGAAAUCACUAAAGUCACAUGGAACGUUUUGACAAUGUGUUUUGUGCCUUAUCUGGACAAUGACCAUCUUGGGACCAUUGCUGUCUGUAGAGGAUGAGGAGCAUUUAAUCUAAAAUAUUUUAGUUUGUGUUCUGAAGAUUAACAGGUCUCUGGGAUGACACAAGUAAUUAAUAACAGAACCUAUAUGAACACUUAAUGUGACAUGUAAUAGUGAAAUAGUGGUCCUACAUUCACAAAUGUGAGCCAUUAUUAUAAGACCCAUGUGAACAUGCAAUUUUUAUGAUACUAAUAAUAAUGGAAUAACAAAUUGCUAUUACUGUUGUGUUUGUGAGAGAGAAUCAAACCAUAUAUUCUACACAUUUUCUUGAUGAUUUACUGAAAUAUUUGUCUACAUGUUCCACUGUCACAGGUGCUCAGUUUUGCUGCAGUAAUGCUAAACACAAUAGAUGUACUUUAUGCAAAAAAAAAAAAAAAACUACUAAAUAUUUAGCAUGCAGACCUGCAAAGUGAAGGAGUAAUGUCAGGUUUAGAUUAUAGCAUGAGUUUUCACUAUUGUGAAUGUGAAGCCAUUCAUUCACAAUGAAUUGGAAUAGCAAACCUCAUUAUUGAUUUUGUAGGAAACUCACCUGGUGUUUGAGAAAUAAAUAUGUAUUUAACUGCUAGACUGAUAUAGAUGUUUUAGUGUUUUACACUUCAUUCUUUGUCCCCAGUGCCAUCUUUUACCUCAAGUGUUUCUCUCAACCUAUAAAACCUCAAACAGAUGUAAUGUAUUUCACUUGUGAUUCUUAGUUGUGAGUGAUGUUUUUUAUAUUAUUUUUUUUUACUGCAGCCACUUUAAAAAUGGGUAUUUUGUAAACUUUGUAAACUUUGUAAACGGAAUUGUAUUUUGGAGACUGUGAUGGUUGAAGCGUAGUUUAGUUACUUAGUUUAAUUUAGUUAGCAUCUGUCUUUCUGAAGACGGUAACACUUUACAAAAAGGUUGUAUUAGUAAGUGUUAAUGUAUUUACUAACAUGAACAAAGAACAAUGAAGUAUCUUUCAUAUAAAGAAAGUACAGUUCAUGUCAGCUCAGUGCAUUAAUGUUAACAAGCAUACAUUUUGAUUUUAAUAGCAUCGGGACAUAUUUCAAUUAAUUAAAUGAUUAAUAAAUGCUGUACAAGUAUUUGUUCUUUGUUCAUGUUAGUAAACAUUAACUAACUUUAAUUCAUGAAACCUAAUUAAAAAGUGACUAUUUAAUUGUAUGCCUUUUUCUGUAUUUGAGUGUACAGCAUGUAUAGUAACCUGCAUGGUUUUGAUGAACUGUAUGCUGUAAAUGUUGCUGUAUAUUUAGAAUAAAUGAAAUAAUGAGGUGUGUAUUAAAUAAAUUGAUACACAGGCUAA